rnacentral:rRNA from 1 species
UCAAGAAUAUUCCUCAAUGGCCGAAAGGCUGAAGGAGCGACGCCGCGUGUAUGAUGAAGCCCUUCGGGGUGUAAAAUACUUUUAACCGGGACGAAGUACUGACGGUACCGGUUGAAUAAGGGGCUGCUAACCUCGUGCCAGCAGCAGCGGUAAUACGAGGGCCCCGAGCGUUAUCCGGAUUUAUUGGGCGUAAAGGGUGUGUAGGCUGUUUAUACCAUCUCCUGUUAAAUCUUAAGGCUCAACCUUGAGGCUGCGGGAGAUAUGAAUAAACUAGAGUUCGGAAGAGGCAAGCGGAAUUGCUGGUGUAGGGGUUAAAUCCGUUAAUAUCAGCAAGAACACCGAAAGCGAAGGCAGCUUGCUAGGACGACACUGACGCUGAGACACGAAAGCGUGGGGAGCG